AUUGAACGCUGGCGGCAUGCCUUACACAUGCAAGUCGAACGGUAACGCGGGGCAACCUGGCGAUGAGUGGCGAACGGGUGAGUAACGCAUCGGAACGUGCCCAGUAGUGGGGGAUAGCCCGGCGAAAGCCGGAUUAAUACCGCAUACGACCUACGGGUGAAAGGGGGGGAUCGCAAGACCUCUCGCUAUUGGAGCGGCCGAUGUCAGAUUAGGGAGUUGGUGGGGUAAAGGCCUACCAAGCCGACGAUCUGUGGCGGGUCUGAGAGGACGACCAGCCACACGGGGAAUGAGACACGGACCAGACUCCUCCGGGAGGCAGCAGUGGGAAAUUUUGAACAAUGGCCGCAAGCCUGAUCCACCCAUGCCGCGUGCGGGAAGAAGGCCUUCGGGUUGUAACCCGCUUUUGUCAGGGAAGAAACGCGCUGGGUUAAUACCUCGGCGUAAUGACGGUACCUGAAGAAUAAGCACCGGCUAACUACGUGCCAGCCGCCGCUGUAAGAC
rnacentral:rRNA from 1 species